GCAUCCCGCGGGGGAUGGGGGACACAAUGCCCCGCUCCUUAAUCCCCGCGGGAGGCUUGGCCGGAGCGUUUGCUGGAGCUCUCCCGGGCCUCUGAAAUGAAUAAUCCCGUGAGAGCAGCGAGAGCCCGGCCUGGCCACACUGAGGGAAAGGCCGAGCUCUGCAACCUGUCUAGGGCUCUGAAAUUCAUAAUCCCGUGAGAGCAGCGAGAGCCCGGCCCGGUCACACCGAGGGACAGACCGAGCUCCUCAACCUGCCCGAAAUCCCGGGAUGAAAAGCGGGCACCCUGCGGCACCUCCGGCCGGAGAUGUGGGGCGAGCGGAGCCCUGAAGGGUUCCAGGGCUGCCCCAAAUCCAUCAGGUCAGGGUUUUCAGCUGAGAGAGAGACGGAAAACGAGAGCUGAAGUAUGAACUGCGAGAAAUCCCACCGAGCUCCUCAGGAAAGAAAACACCGUCAGACUUUCGGACAUUUCCAGGCUGCGCCAUCCACACACCGCUCCCGGCGCUGAUGGUCCCCGGAGGAAUCGCCCGGAUUUUUUUUUAUUUCGUUUUUGCCCCGUAACCACCGCUCCCAAGCGUGGCUGUGCACACACACACACGCAAAUCCUGUAAAUGCUAAUAAAACAGAUUCCUCGGGAUUUGUUUGACUUGCC
rnacentral:lncRNA from 1 species